rnacentral:rRNA from 1 species
ACAGAGGUGGCAAGCGUUGUUCGGAAUUACUGGGCGUAAAGGGCGCGUAGGCGGUUCGGUAAGUCCCGUGUGAAAUCCCUCGGCUCAACUGAGGAACUGCACGGGAGACUGCCGGGCUUGAGUUCGGGAGAGGGAAGCGGAAUUCCGGGUGUAGCGGUGAAAUGCGUAGAUAUCCGGAGGAACACCGGUGGCGAAGGCGGCUUCCUGGACCGACACUGACGCUGAGGCGCGAAAGCUAGGGGAGCAAACGGGA